GGUAUCCUCAUACGGUGGACCCACGGUGAUGGUUCAUCAAGUCUUCAAAAAAGAAUAUAUACGAUUGCAUUGCAUAUACUAACGGAUGCGAUCAUACCAGCACUAAUGCACCGGAUCCCAUCAGAACUCCGCAGUUAAGCGUGCUUGGGCGAGAGUAGUACUAGGAUGGGUGACCUCCCGGGAAGUCCUCGUGUUGCAUCCCUCUUUUAUAUUUAACCUCU
rnacentral:rRNA from 1 species